rnacentral:rRNA from 1 species
UAGGGAAUCUUCCGCAAUGGACGCAAGUCUGACGGAGCAACGCCGCGUGAGUGAAGAAGGAUUUCGGUUCGUAAAACUCUGUUGUUAGAGAAGAACAGCGCAUAGAGUAACUGUUAUGCGUGUGACGGUAUCUAACCAGAAAGCCACGGCUAACUACGUGCCAGCAGCCGCGGUAAUACGUAGGUGGCAAGCGUUGUCCGGAUUUAUUGGGCGUAAAGCGAGCGCAGGCGGUCAAUUAAGUCUGAUGUGAAAGCCCCCGGCUCAACCGGGGAGGGUCAUUGGAAACUGGUUGACUGGAGUGCGGAAGAGGAGAGUGGAAUUCCAUGUGUAGCGGUGAAAUGCGUCGAUAUAUGGAGGAACACCAGUGGCGAAGGCGACUCUCUGGUCUGUAACUGACGCUGAGGCUCGAAAGCGUGGGUAGCAAACAGG